UUGUCCCGGUUUAAGCAUGUAGGCUGAUUGUCCAGGCAAAUCCGGAUAAUCAAGGCUGAGGUGUGAUGACGAGGCACUACGGUGCUGAAGUAACAAAUGCCCUGCUUCCAGGAAAAGCCUCUAAGCAUCAGGUAACAUUAAAUCGUACCCCAAACCGACACAGGUGGUCAGGUAGAGAAUACCAAGGCGCUUGAGAGAACUCGGGUGAAGGAACUAGGCAAAAUGGUGCCGUAACUUCGGGAGAAGGCACGCUGGUGUGUAGGUGAAGUCCCUGCGG
rnacentral:rRNA from 1 species